rnacentral:rRNA from 1 species
UAUUGNUCAAUAGCCUAACCGGCUGAACCAGCAACUUGGAGGAAUGGAUAGGGAAAGCCGGUAAAAGGCAAUGUACCUAGUAGUAUUAGAAAUGAAUAUGAGAUUAACGAAGUUAAUUAAAAUUCGAAGUAGAUAAAUGAUUAUGACAAUAUCUGCUGAUGUCUUGACCAAGUCACGUGCCAGCAGUCGCGGUAAUACGGAAGAUAAGCGUUAUUCAUCUUUAAUAUGUUUAAAGGGUACCUAGACAGUUAAUUAAGCAAGAAAUUGUAGUAAUUUUAAAGUAGAGUUUAAUGUAGGAAGGGUCAGUACGAUGCGGAGUAGAGAUAAAAUUCUUUGAUACUCAUGGGGACUGGUAAAGGCGAAGGCAACCUUUUAUGUAAAAACUGACGUUGAAGGACGAAGG